rnacentral:rRNA from 1 species
UAAAGAAAGCGUAAUAGCUCACUGGUCUAGACAAGUUUUCUUGCGUCAAAGAUGUAAGGGGGCUAAAGCCACACACCGAAGCUAAGGAUUGUAUAUUUAGAUAUACAGUGGUAGCGGAGCGUUCCGUAGGCCGAAGAAGCAGUAUCGUAAGGUAUUGUGGAGGUAUCGGAAGUGAGGAUGCUGACAUGAGUAACGAUAAAUAGAGUGAGAAACUCUAUCGCCGAAAAUCUAAGGUUUCCUACGCAAGGUUAAUCCGCGUAGGGUUAGUCGACCCCUAAGGCGAGGCUGAAAAGCGUAGUCGAUGGGAACAAGGUUAAUAUUCCUUGACCAUCUGGAGGUGACGGAUUUAAGAGCUAGUAAUGUCUGAAAGGAUUGAUAUUGCGUGUGAUUAGGUUCCAGGAAAUAGCCCCAGAAUGAGAUCGUACCGUAAACCGACACAGGUAGAUGGGUUGAGUAUACUAAGGCGCUUGAGAGAAUGAUGUUGAAGGAACUCGGCAAAUUGACUUCGUAACUUCGGGAUAAGAAGUCCCAAUUUGGAGGCAACUUUGAAUUGGGGGCACAGAAUUGGUGGUAGCGACUGUUUAUUAAAAACACAGGACUCUGCAAACUCGUAAGAGGAAGUAUAGGGUCUGACGCCUGCCCGGUGCUGGAAGGUUAAAGAGAGAGGUGAGAGCUUUGAACUGAAGCCCCAGUAAACGGCGGCCGUAACAAUAACGGUCCUAAGGUAGCGAAAUUCCUUGUCGGGUAAGUUCCGACCUGCACGAAUGGCGUAACGAUGGCCACACUGUCUCCUCCUGAGACUCAGCGAAGUUGAAAUGUUUGUGAUGAUGCAAUCUCCCCGCGGAAAGACGGAAAGACCCCAUGAACCUUUACUGUAGCUUUGUAUUGGACUUUGAACAGAUCUGUGUAGGAUAGGUGGGAGGCUUUGAAGCAGGGUCGCUAGAUCUUGUGGAGCCAACGUUGAAAUACCACCCUGGUGUGUUUGAGGUUCUAACCUAGGUCCAUUAUCUGGACCGGGGACCGUGCAUGGUAGGCAGUUUGACUGGGGCGGUCUCCUCCCAAAGCGUAACGGAGGAGUUCGAAGGUACGCUAAAUACGGUCGGAAAUCGUGUUGAUAGUGCAUUGGCAUAAGCGUGCUUGACUGCGAGACUGACAAGUCGAGCAGGUACGAAAGUAGGACAAAGUGAUCCGGUGGUUCUGUAUGGAAGGGCCAUCGCUCAACGGAUAAAAGGUACUCUGCGUUGAUACCACUGUUU